GACGAACGCUGGCGGCGUGCCUAAUACAUGCAAGUAGGACGCACAGUUUAUACCGUAGCUUGCUACACCAUAGACUGUGAGUUGCGAACGGGUGAGUAACGCGUAGGUAACCUGCCUAUUAGAGGGGGAUAACUAUUGGAAACGAUAGCUAAUACCGCAUAACAGUAUGUAACACAUGUUAGAUGCUUGAAAGAUGCAAUUGCAUCGCUAGUAGAUGGACCUGCGUUGUAUUAGCUAGUAGGUAGGGUAAUGGCCUACCUAGGCGACGAUACAUAGCCGACCUGAGAGGGUGAUCGGCCACACUGGGACUGAGACACGGCCCAGACUCCUACGGGAGGCAGCAGUAGGGAAUCUUCGGCAAUGGGGGGAACCCUGACCGAGCAACGCCGCGUGAGUGAAGAAGGUUUUCGGAUCGUAAAGCUCUGUUGUUAAGGAAGAACGAGUGUGAAAAUGGAAAGUUCAUACUGUGACGGUACUUAACCAGAAAGGGACGGCUAACUACGUGCCAGCAGCCGCGGUAAUACGUAGGUCCCGAGCGUUGUCCGGAUUUAUUGGGCGUAAAGCGAGCGCAGGCGGUUAGAAAAGUCUGAAGUGAAAGGCAGUGGCUCAACCAUUGUAGGCUUUGGAAACUGUUUAACUUGAGUGCAGAAGGGGAGAGUGGAAUUCCAUGUGUAGCGGUGAAAUGCGUAGAUAUAUGGAGGAACACCGGUGGCGAAAGCGGCUCUCUGGUCUGUAACUGACGCUGAGGCUCGAAAGCGUGGGGAGCGAACA
rnacentral:rRNA from 1 species